GUAGGUAAAUAAAUUUAUGGUGUAAAAAGCAUUCUCACCCUGAAAUGGCUCAUUGCCAGCUUAAAGCUCAUAACCCUAUACUCACCGUCCGUACCGUUUAAGAUCUCAAAUGGCUAAUUCAGUCUAUGAAAGAUGAGAAGGACGUCAUUAACAUGGCGCAUCAGUUGGACCAAUCGAUGAAGAUUACGAAUAUGUUCAAUAUCUGAUCCAAGGUCACAACCCAAUUGACGCGCGGUUCCUUCAUCAAUAAAUGAAUGAGUACUCCCACUGCCAAUCAAAAUGCAUCUCUUUUAGUUCGUCCUGCAGUCCUCCCAAGAAGCUCUGUACAUAGUAACUCUCGCUAUGAUUUAUGUUCUUGGCCAUGACUAAAGAGCUAGAACUUUGUUCGUGAAUGCAUCCCAAGAUGAAACCACAUGAUCCAUCAAAUAAUCUGUAACCCAUAUGUCAGCUCGUCCAGUAAAGAAAUAUAUGGCAUAAUUUACCUUGUCUAUGUCUUCGAUUGCGAAAUUUCUAAAGAACUGGUUUGCAUCCGUUAGGCGGAAUAUUCCAACUCCAACAGCGCUCUCUUUUCUGGCCGCAGUCGAUGAUGAUGCACAUUUUGCUUCUUCCUUGUUUUUAUUAGCAGUCAACGGAAGUCUUGCUCAUACACAACAAUAGAUCACACACUCAAUCGAACACGAUAUCUGUAAGUGAUAGUAACUCUUGGUGAAUGAGUAGAGGAGAAGAAGGCAGAGAACAAAAUAGUCUUGGUAAAGAAGAAGAAAAUGACCGAGAGCGAAUGCACAAGGUGAACCCGAAUCAGAUGAACCUGUUAACAGAGCCUCAUAUUGCAGCGAACCAGAUGAUGAUAGAUCACGAUAGGCUGAUAGAGAAUCAGGGUCAUGACAGAUUCAUCACUGGAGAAGGAAUUUAAGGAGGAACUACAUAAAGAGAUUGCUAAAAAAGAGCUUAGAUAAGUAAUUUAACUUGAUCCCAUCAUCAAAAUUAUUCCAUUCAAGAUUUUAAAUGUUUUUAACCUGAUCUAUCUCUGUUAUUAAAAAUCCAACACACUUAUUGACAAUAAAUGAAUGAUCUGGAGAAUCAAAGAGUUUCCCAUUGAAGAACUCAGGCAUAUUGAACAAGAUAAGCAAAGAACAUAAUACUAAGUUAUGAAUGAUUUUACUCAUCAUCCAUCUGUUUAUGUUAUUUAUGAGAAAUGGUAGUUGAUUUGAUUCCAGUUAGUGCAGGAUGAAACUCUCUAUCAGUGACAAAUAUAAUAGGGCAUUGCAUUUGCUUUCGAAUGGGCGUACAAAUAGUGGGAUUUCCUUGAACUUGAAUAUAUAGAAUUUGAGUUCGAUACUUUGAAAGUGGCGACUCCAUUCGAUGUUUGUAAUAUCCUUUGGAAGAUGAUAUCGCCAUGAGAUAUUGUGAUUGUUCUUUUGAUGAUUAUAUUUGGGCAUGUUGUUUAGAUUUCAUAUUUGUAUGGUCUUGUGUGUCUAUUGAGAUGAAAAACAUGGUAUUUUAUUUAUUAAU